rnacentral:ncRNA from 1 species
UGCCUGCCCAGUGAGUCACGACUUUAACGGCCGCGGUAUCCUGACCGUGCAAAGGUAGCAUAAUCACUUGUCUCUUAAUUGGGGACUAGUAUGAAUGGCACCACGAGGGUUCAACUGUCUCUUACUCCCAAUCAGUGAAAUUGACCUUCCCGUGCAGAGGCGGGGAUAAUUAUACAAGACGAGAAGACCCUGUGGAGCUUAAGUCGUAUAACUCAACAAAUACUAAUAUUUAACCUAUUGGAAUAACAUGUAUAAUCUAUGAGUUAUAGUCUUUGGUUGGGGUGACCUCGGAGCAUAAAAGAACCUCCGAAUGAAUAAAACCAAGAUUAACAAAUCUAAGUGUAAUAUUACCAGUAAUUGACCCAUAUUUUGAUCAACGGAACAAGUUACCCCAGGGAUAACAGCGCAAUCCUAUUUGAGAGCCCAUAUCGAAAACAGGGUUUACGACCUCGAUGUUGGAUCAGGACAUCCAAAUGGUGCAACCGCUAUUAAAGCGGAUUGAUGGUUACUGAUAACUCCUUGUUAGCUUUUUGAAGGAUAAUAUCUUAGGAUAUCCAUUCAGGCAGCUAAGUAUU